AAGCAUUAUAAAGGGGCAGGAGAAAAAAGGAAAAGACUUGCAGACUGAAAUCUAAAGGACACUUGAUGCUUCCCAGUCCUGUUUCUUGCACUAACAAUGAAUGAAUGAAUCACAAAAAUCCUAGAACUUUAUGCGUUUUCAAGAAGUUGCCUGAAGAAGGAACUUCCUUGUGCGGUACGCCUCAGGAAAAAAGAAGCAGGAGAAAAGCUUUGAGAGGAGAGCAAGUGACGGACACGCGAACGAGAUCAAGCCUCACUGCGGUUCACUAGGGUCUAUGCAGGCCCUCGCACCCCUGCCUACCUCCUCAGAACCCAGCCUCUUGGCUCUUCUCACCCCAGCCCCACCAGACAGCUUCCCUCCCAGGAGGUGUCUCUCAAGAUCUCGAAAUGUGGAGCGUCCCGUUCACUCCACCUGGCCUGGAAUACUUUUCCUGCCCCCUUUCAUCGGGUCUUAUUCAUCCUUUAAGUUGUUCAGCAUAACUUUCCACCUGAAUGCCUUCCCUGGCCCUGGACUAGGAUAAAUCCCCUCGCCAUAAUGUUCCUACACAGGCAUCACUUUGUAAAGCUUACCACUGUUGUAAUUACUUGUUUACUGAUCUGUCUUUCCGUUAGGCUGUGCGUUCCACUGGGGUGGAAACCUUGUUCACUGGCUCUGCAGCCCCGGGCACUGUGGGUCUUGCAUGUACCGGGGGCUCAGUAAAUAUUUGGCAAAAAAUGAAAAAGUUCCCCUCAAAGCCAGCUUCCAGUGCCUCCACGGCCCUCAAAUUAAUUAUGAAUUAAUUCACUAAUACAGCAAACCUUUAUGUGAUUCUUCCGUGUCACAGCACCUUGUUACAUACUGAGGACACAUCCACAGGCAAAUAAAACUCAGCUUCUCUCUGCACAGGAAAAAAUUAUUCAAAUUG
rnacentral:lncRNA from 10 species